GUCAGAGGGAAAUGAAAAGUGUAAAACUUCAGCCAGUGAUAAUUACAUAGUUAACAGUGGUAAUUUCCAAAACCCUUUUUUAAAUGUGGAUAUCAUGGCACCGUUAAGCACAUGGAAUGUGUGAGGAGUUCUUUGUGUCAGUUCAGUUCACAAAUGAUAUCGGUGAAAACUCCUGAUGUAUUGUAAUUCAGUGGUUUCAUGUCUCAGUAUCUUUUUUGAAGUUCCUUUGCUGCAGGAUAGCUAUUUUCAGGUUAUUUACACAGUGUCCUAGGACCUAGAAGGUUUCAGUGUUCCGCCACUUCCUUUUGAAUAUUGAGAUUUCUGACAUCAGAUUUUUGUCCAUUUUGUAUCUCAUUCCUCCUCUAUAGAAAGCAAAAGGGCAGUGCUGGCAGAUGAUGGCAGACAUCAUGUUGGAAGGUGAGCAGGUGAACAAUCCCCUGAGGUUUGGGAUGGCAUCAUUAAUCCUGAAACACUUUUCCCAGAGUAAGUCUGUGGACAGCGUCUGCGUUCCCCAUCUCCAUAGCCCUGUCAUGGGCAUGUUGUUCUUUGGGAAGAGCUGUUUUGGAUCAGGAGAUGUCUGUGAGGAUGUAUAAGUCAACAGCCAAGGCGUGUGAGAGGGAAGUGUCAUUCUCCAGACUUGGGUGUCGAUAACUGAUGAAAUGUGUGAGUGAUUUCAUUUGGGGGCUGUAAGUGGCAUCUGCUUUGUCUUGCUGUAUUAGAUGAGCCUUGUACUUUGAGGAAUGCUUGGUGUAAGUUGUUCAGCAGUGAGUCCUUAUCCCGUGAUCCUGAAGAGAUGUAGCAGGCUUAAUUUUAAGAAAGUAGCUGCCCUGCAGAGGGGGUGGGGAGAGAAGGCUGGUUGUGACUGUGGCAAGGAGGGCAGGGGACUUUAACCAUUAAUCCUUCCUUUUCCCGAUCAGAAUCGCAGUGGCAGGAUAGCACUGACUGGAACCAAGAGGGGCUUUCCCAGCAUUGCAAAUAGCAGCCAUGAUAGGAGCAGGACAAUGCUGAUUGAAAACAUGAGAGCAAACAAAGUGUUACAGUCCUUUCUCCACUUCACACCCGACGCUUGACCAGGCUUGGGCCCCCUGAGCCAGCUCUUUUUACAAAAUGCAACAUCUAAGAAUUAUGAAGGCUUUGCUCUUGGAAGCAUCCUGGCAGCUGCCUGCUUGAGCUUAGGAUUCACCGACA